AGUUUGAUCCUGGCUCAGAACGAACGCUGGCGGCAUGCCUAACACAUGCAAGUCGAACGAGAUCGCUGACUUCGGUUGGCGGUCUAGUGGCGCACGGGUGCGUAACGCGUGGGAAUCUGCCCUUAGGUACGGAAUAACUCAGGGAAACUUGUGCUAAUACCGUAUGAUGUCGAAAGACCAAAGAUUCAUCGCCUAGGGAUGAGCCCGCGUAGGAUUAGCUAGUUGGUGGGGUAAAGGCCUACCAAGGCUACGAUCCUUAGCUGGUCUGAGAGGAUGAUCAGCCACACUGGGACUGAGACACGGCCCAGACUCCUACGGGAGGCAGCAGUGGGGAAUAUUGGACAAUGGGCGAAAGCCUGAUCCAGCAAUGCCGCGUGAGUGAAGAAGGCCUUCGGGUUGUAAAGCUCUUUUACCCGGGAAGAUAAUGACUGUACCGGGAGAAUAAGCCCCGGCUAACUCCGUGCCAGCAGCCGCGGUAAUACGGAGGGGGCUAGCGUUGUUCGGAUUUACUGGGCGUAAAGCGUACGUAGGCGGCCAUUCAAGUCAGAGGUGAAAGCCCGGGGCUCAACUCCGGAACUGCCUUUGAAACUAGGUGGCUUGAACACGGGAGAGGUGAGUGGAAUUCCGAGUGUAG
rnacentral:rRNA from 1 species